UACGUAGGGUGCGAGCGUUAAUCGGAAUUACUGGGCGUAAAGGGCGCGUAGGCGGCUCUGUAAGUCAGAUGUGAAAGCCCCGGGCUUAACCUGGGAACUGCAUUUGAUACUGCAAGGCUAGAGGAUGAGAGAGGAAAGUGGAAUUACGAGUGUAGAGGUGAAAUUCGUAGAUAUUCGUAAGAACACCAGUGGCGAAGGCGGCUUUCUGGCUCAUUACUGACGCUAAGGCGCGAAAGCGUGGGGAGCAAACAGG
rnacentral:rRNA from 1 species